rnacentral:rRNA from 1 species
GAUGUCUGAUUAGCUAGUUGGUAAGGGUAAUGGCUUACCANGGCGACGNUCAGUAGUUGGUCUGAGAGGACGGCCAGCCACACUGGGACUGAGACACGGCCCAGACUCCUACGGGAGGCAGCAGUGGGGAAUUUUGGACAAUGGGCGCAAGCCUGAUCCAGCAAUGCCGCGUGAGUGAAGAAGGCCUUCGGGUUGUAAAGCUCUUUCAGUCGAGAAGAAAAGGUUGUGACUAAUAAUCACAACUCAUGACGGUAUCGACAGAAGAAGCACCGGCUAACUACGUGCCAGCAGCCGCGGUAAUACGUAGGGUGCGAGCGUUAAUCGGAAUUACUGGGCGUAAAGGGUGCGCAGGCGGUUUUGUAAGUCAGAUGUGAAAUCCCCGGGGCUUAACCUGGGAACU